GUAGCAAUAGUAUAUUAUAGUAUUUUUACCUUCCAAGUAAAAGGUCCAUGGUUUGGUUGCUAUU
rnacentral:tRNA from 1 species